AUUCUUCCCCUUUCUUUCAGUAGAAGAAAUGAUCUUUGGCAAGGAAACAAUAGCUGAAGGAAACAAUUUUUUUUUUUCCGGAUGGAAGGACAUGAGCUGGACGUCACAACCCAUGGACACCUGGGAAGGAUAUGUACCAUCUAGGAAUCGUUCUUGUGGAAAGGGCAAGACAAGAUGCUCUUCUAAGACAACGCGACUAAUACCACCUGGGAUUUCGGGGAGCUCCUGCAGGGGCCCAUCGUGGCUGCCGUCUGCCCAUUCUGAUGGACUCUGUGAGGAUCCAUAUCAGGCUGUGCUGGAGAAGAAAGCCUCCAGCAACUGCCAUGGCACUGGCAAGGCAGGGGCUGUGCUCUCAAUGUGCCUUCUCCAGAUGCUGGGCAUAUGGUCUUGUCCUGAGAGCUCCAAGAUAAUUUGGCUUAGCUCGCUCAGUGAAGGAUGCAGCUGGAGCAGAGAGUGUGGAGAGAGACUUACUGCACUUCCAGAUAACAGCCUUGCUGAGCUUGAUUGAUGGAUGCUGUUUAAUCUGCCAGACAGGCUGAAACUUAAGAAAUGGAGCAGAAACACGCAGCUUGGGCAAACCAUUUGUGUAUAGCAAGGACAUGCACAGUGUCAUUUUAGGCAGCGUUUGUGCUAGGAAGCCACUGUGCACAGACUUCCUCACCAGCACAGCUGGGCACAGAAGAGCUUUGGUCUGUGUGGCAGAGCAUUGUACGUGCUUUGGCCACCUUUGUCUAAGGAUGAGAUUUCUUUCCUCUUCCAAGCCUUUCCCUUUGCAAUUAUAUUACUGCAGCACAAGGCCAUGUACCUAGUCAUAAAAGCAAAUGUUUUUCAGUCGUGCCCCUGAAGUCUUCAGCAAGACCUUCUCAGAAGAUACGCAGAGGAUGGUUGAGUACAAGAGAAGUGUCCAAUAUUAAUUGCUGAGAUGAACUCAGAAGAUGUGGGCUCUGCUCCCUCAGGCUCUUGCUGACUGGUUGCAUGGUGCUGAGCACCUUCCUGGUCAAACCAGUGCCCUCCACACCUGCCUUGGACAUGCACUGCACUCAGUGUUCUCAGUGGAAAUGAUUGUAACAGAAAUAAUCUCUUCCAGGUAGGGUGAUUUACCCCAUGUAGUAAACUGGCUGCAGCUGGAGCACCUUAUUGCUAUUAAAAUCUUCAUCUUCACUUGGCUGUAGCUGUAGAGGCAAACUACACUAUGAUGUAAACAAGACUGGAGCUUGUACAACCUUUAAGACCAAGUGUGGCUAUUCUACUGCAGCUUGCCACUGCAUUGAGCCUGACAGCCUGAUCUGAAAGAACAGUUUUGGGACUUAGCAUAUAAAGAAAAAAAUUGUAGAGGACACAGUUCAAAUGACAACAACAACAACCAAGCCUGAAGAAUUCAACACAUUUUUUUUUACUGAAAGGAGUAUGGAGUUGGUAUAAGACUAUUGCAUGUGUGAUAUACUCACCAAGUGUAUUCCAAUUUAACAGAGAGCAGUUAGAUUUGUUUUUCCUCUUAGAGGUGUUAAUAGACUCAAAUGUGGAAGAGGAGACAAACACAAGCUUGGCAAGUUCAGGUGAUGGUAAAUGAAGCAGGUUACGUUAAAGACAACCUCUUCUGUGCUGUUCAAUUUUUCUUACACAGCACAGAGUGCACCUGAGUAUUGAGUACAAAACAAUGUAAACGAGCCCUUGCAAACUGUCUGUGCACAAGCUGGGAUAAAUCUCUUACAAGCAGAGGAAAAUACACCAAUGAUUUUGCCUCUGGAUAGAGAUUGCUAGCAGUUUUUGAGAUUUCCCCAGAUUCAGUCCCUGGUGAGAACACAGGUAUGAACAGUGUGUAUAAACAAAAUUUAAAGGUUUCCAUUAAAAGAAGAAACAUAGACUUGACAAAUACCCUAACACACGUGCCAAGGCAUAUAAAAUGCAUCUGAUGCAACAAAUGUUUCAUACUUUCUUCCUAUUUUCUAGAGUCAAUUUAUUUUCAAAUCCUUGCUUUAUACAUGCAGUGGAUGAAUUAAUGACUCUUGCUAUUUGAUGUAAAUUCUUGCCAUAGUUCGCUUCACAAUGGAUUUCCCCUCCUCUAGAGCAGUUGGUUCUGACUGAUGAUCUGUCUAGCUUCGGAGCAGAAAAUCCACAUGCUGAGGAAGCGGAGAUGGAGGAGCAGUCUUUGGAUUUUAGGAAUGGCCCUUUUGGGUCUGGAUCAAAGGCUUCCAGCCAAACAGCAUCAGGAAGCUUUGGCUGCUGCUGCUUCUGCAAUAGUUGUUUCCUGUGAUAGGGAGCAAGGCAUACACAAAGCAUCUGGUGCAUCCCAUCUGUGUGGGAGGGGAAGAAAGUUGCCCCAUGGCUGUCAGGCCAGUAUGCUUUGGCAUACAUGGAGGUGUAAAAAACUUGCUCUUGAAACUUCAGUAUUUUGGGUCUUGCUUAAUCUCUGUGUUCCAAAUUCAGCAGUAUCCUCAGUGAUUGCACUAUGAGUACUGGUAAAUAAAAAUUCUGUAACAG
rnacentral:lncRNA from 7 species